rnacentral:lncRNA from 1 species
UCAGUGACACCUAGCAGUAUAUAGUGGUAACUCAAUAUAACCGAAAAGAAUCUCAAAGUGUAGUUAACAUGUGAUUCAGUCCCUCUAUCAUGAGUCUUGACUAGAUGGCAGGUUAUGGAUAAAUCAUCAAACUUCAACAUCAAUCAUAUGAUAGAUUCGAUCAGCUCAAGUUUAAUUAUGAUUUCUAUGAAAACUCUUUUCCAUCAAUCAUACUACUGUG